rnacentral:lncRNA from 1 species
CACUCUAUUCCAGUAGGUGGCGGAAUAUGCACCAAAGCUGGUUUGCCAACCGCAAUUAAACGUCAAAGUAGAAGGAGACAUUAAACCCACAGAAGAAGAAAAAAGAAGAAGAAGCUCACGAUUAGUUCCUCCCACAACAAUUGCAGAACCCUGCAGAAUGAAACACACUGAAGAUACUGAAGAACAAACAGACCUGAUGGAUGUGAACAAGGAAAAACGGAAGAAGAAGAAAAUUGUGAGCUGCCCUCAGUGUAAAAAGAGGCGAAGAAACACCUGAGGAUUAACAAAGGAGAAGACUCAUUCAUUAUAUUACAGCAGAAAAGACACGGCGGUGUGUGUUUAAGCGCAGAAAGUCCUUUACUACAGAAGAUGAACUGAAAGAGCACCAGAAAAUUCACACUGGAAACCUUUCAAGGCAUAGUUCAGGGGGCUGAAGAAGAGGCAAUGACACUUUUAAGAGAGACAUGAAUCUGAUAUACAUUUUUAACUUGUUCUUAAUUGUUUUUCAUAAGAACAUCUAGUUUCUCUUCCACUUCUACUCUUCCAUGCAAAUGCAACAGGUGUAAAGUAUUGGAAUAAAUGCAAUUAGUUACUGUACUUAAGUAGCAUUGUAGCUACUUUGUAGUUUUACUGAGUAUUAAAGAUAUUAGCAAC